AUGGAACGCUGGCGGCAGGCCUAACACAUGCAAGUCGAACGGUAACAGGAAGACGCUUGCUUCUUUGCUUACGAGUGGCGGACGGGUGAGUAAUGUCUGUGAAACUGCCUGAUGGAGUGGGAUAACUACUGGAAACGGUAGCUAAUACCGCAUAACUUCGCAAGCCCAAAGAGGGGGACCUUCGGGCCUCUUGCCAUCGGCUGUGCCCAGAUGGGAUUAGCUAGUAGGUGGGGUAACGGCUCACCUAGGCGACGCUCCCUAGCUGGUCUGAGAGGAUGACUGGCCACACUGGAACUGAGACACGGUCCAGACUCCUACGGGAGGCAGCAGUGGGGAAUAUUGCACACUGGGCGGAAACAUGAUGCAGCCAUGCCGCGUGUAUGAAGAAGGACUUAGGGUUGUAAAGUACUUUCAGCGGGGAGGAAGGGAGUAAAGUUAAUACCUUUGCUCAUUGACGUUACCCGCAGAAGAAGCACCGGCUAACUCCGUG
rnacentral:rRNA from 1 species